rnacentral:rRNA from 1 species
GUGAGGAAUAUUGCGCAAUGGAGGCAACUCUGACGCAGCCAUGCCGCGUGCAGGAAGAAGGCGCUACGCGUUGUAAACUGCUUUUAACCGGGAAGAAACCCCAGGACGUGUCCUGGGUUGACGGUACCGGAGGAAUAAGCACCGGCUAACUUCGUGCCAGCAGCCGCGGUAAUACGAAGGGUGCAAGCGUUAUCCGGAUUCAUUGGGUUUAAAGGGUGCGUAGGCGGAGCGUUAAGUCAGUGGUGAAAUCCUGCAGCUUAACUGUAGAGUUGCCAUUGAUACUGGCGCUCUUGAGUGCGCAUGAGGUGGGCGGAAUGUGCCGUGUAGCGGUGAAAUUCUUAGAUAUGGCACAGAACACCAAUUGCGAAGGCAGCUCACUAAGGCGAUACUGACGCUGAGGCACGAAAGCGUGGGGAUCGAACAGGAUUAGAUACCCCAGUAGUCC